rnacentral:snRNA from 1 species
AUACUUACCUGGCACAGGAGAUACCGUGAUCACAAAGGCGGUUUUCCCAGGGCGAGGCUCACCAUUGCACUCCGGUGAUGCUGACCCUUGCGAUUAACCCAAAUGUGGUUAACUCGAGUGCGCAAUAAAUAGUACUUGAUUUAUGCUUAAGGUCAG